GUCUCGUUGGUGACAGCGGAGGGGAUCAUUAGCGAGUUAAACAAACUCCAAACCCAUGUGAACAUACCUACUGUUGCCUCGGCAGGUCGUGCUGUGCGGUGGUGAUACCUACCCUGGAGUAGGAACCUACCCUGUAGUGACCUACCCUGGAGUAGGAACCUACCCUGUAGUGACCUACCCUGGAGUGGAGCUACCCUGCAGCACGCAACCAGGCCUGCCAAAGGACCCCUAAACUCUGUUAUAACGUACCUCUGAGUCAACUAUACAAAUAAGUUAAAACUUUCAACAACGGAUCUCUUGGUUCUGGCAUCGAUGAAGAACGCAGCGAAAUGCGAUAAGUAAUGUGAAUUGCAGAAUUCAGUGAAUCAUCGAAUCUUUGAACGCACAUUGCGCCUAAUAGUAUUCUGUUAGGCAUGCCUGUUCGAGCGUCAUUUCAACCCCCAAGCGCUACUUGCUUGACGUUGGGAAUUUACAGCUGCUGUAAUUCCUCAAAUUUAGUGGCGGAGCUAGGUCAUGCUCUGAGCGUAGUAAUUCUGUUCUCGCUCCUGAAGCUGCCCUAUAUCCUGCCGUAAAACCCCUAAAUUAUAAUCUGGUUGACCUCGGAUCAGGUAGGAAUACCCGCUGAACUUAAGCAUAUCAAUAAGCGGAGGAAAAGAAACCAACAGGGAUUGCCCUAGUAACGGCGAGUGAAGCGGCAACAGCUCAAAUUUGAAAUCUGGCCUUCGGGUCCGAGUUGUAAUUUGCAGAGGAUGCUUUUGGCGAGGUGCCUUCCGAGUUCCCUGGAACGGGACGCCUUAGAGGGUGAGAGCCCCGUACGGUUGGACACCGAGCCUCUGUAAAGCUCCUUCGACGAGUCGAGUAGUUUGGGAAUGCUGCUCUAAAUGGGAGGUAAAUUUCUUCUAAAGCUAAAUACCGGCCAGAGACCGAUAGCGCACAAGUAGAGUGAUCGAAAAGAUGAAAAGCACUUUUGAAAAGAGGGU
rnacentral:rRNA from 1 species